UGGGGAAUAUUGCACAAUGGGGAAACCCUGAUGCAGCGACGCCGCGUGAGCGAAGAAGUAUUUCGGUAUGUAAAGCUCUAUCAGCAGGGAAGAUAAUGACGGUACCUGACUAAGAAGCCCCGGCUAACUACGUGCC
rnacentral:rRNA from 1 species